CUAAUAUUUAUUAUCGUAAAUGUUAGCUUUUUCCAUAUUUUAAAUUUAAAAACUUUGGCUUCUUGAGAGGUAAGAAUUACAUCAUUGUUUUGGAUAGAUGGGGGGAAUAUUUUACAGUAAUUUUCAGGAAAAAUGUCUCUUUUAAAUCUCCGAUUCCUCGGCUGACCAUUGCGAUGUGUGUUGCUUUGUUGCUUGCAUACUCCAUCUCUCUGUCUUCCUGCAUAGAGCAGGAUAAAGUAGUGAAAGAUGUUAUUCGCAAAAUAUAUAGAACAUCGAGGAAUGUUAGAUUUAUGAUAGGUAAUUACGAUUAAAUAUGUGCACUGUGUACACCAACCUCUCAUGAAUCAUGAUAGCCGGCCUUUUCUGCUUCGGCUUCCUGUCAUCAUCAGUGCCGGCCUGCGUCGCUCUCCCGCCUCCUUAUCCGCACAGGCAGCCCGCCCUUCAUCCUCAGCGUCACCGUCAUCUCGUACGGCGGAGGCGCCUCCAUGCUUGCCGCCCGCACCGUCUCCACGGCGAACCUCCUGACCACGGCGGCCACAACGGCCUUCAUCUGCACAUACGCCAUCUCCUUACCGAGGCACGCCCUCGGGCCGGCGUGGAACACCGGGUACCUCGCCGCGUCCACCGCCACGAACUCGCCUCCGCCAUCGAGCCACCGCUCGGGGCGGAACUCGCGGCAGUCGUCGCCCCACAGCUGCGGCAUCCUCCCCAUCGCGUACGCGCAGUAGUCCGCGAACCAGCCGGCGCGCACCGUCGUGCCAUCCGGCAGCACGUCCCCCGCGGCCGCCACCCUCGAGUUGAUGGGCACCGGCGGAUACAGCCGCAUCGCCUCGGUGAGCGCCGCGUGCAGGUAGUGCAGCCCCCUGAGCUCGUCGUAGCCGCCUUCGUCGUCGACGCCAUAUCUGUGGAGCGAGAGCGACGCCACCUCCUCGUACACGCGCCGCUCGCAGCGCGGGUUGGCGGCGAGGAGCCAGAAGAACCAUGUGAGCGCGGAGGACGUGGAGUCCUUCCCGGCGAGCACGAAGCUGACGACGAUGUCCCGCAGGAACCGCCGCUUCGCCUCCGGCGACCGGAACAUGGCGCCGAGUUCGCUCCCCUCCUCUUCCUCCAUCGCCGCCGCGAACCGCGACAGAAGGUGCUGCUCGUCGCAGCCGCCUCCGUCGCCGACGCCGCGCGACCGCUCCUCCGACUCCAUGAUCGCCGCGACGUGCUCGUCGACGAUGCGGAUGGCCUCGCGGAGCCGCCUCUCGCUUCCGACGCCAGCGAGCUGCAUCGCCUUCCACACGACGGCGGUCGGGUGGAGCAUGCGCGCGAAGGAGAUCUCGACGGCGGCGUCGAACGCCUCGAAGAACGUGUCGUGCCGGCGGGGUCGUCCCCUGCCCCGGCCGCCGGCCUCCUCGAGCUCGAGCAGCGUCGAGCCCUCGACUCCGAACGCGACGCCGCAGAUGUUGUCGAAGGCGAAGCGCUUGAGCACGUCCUGCAGGUCAACGGCCUCGCCGGAGUCAGCCGCACUCGCGAGAAGAGGAAGGAGCCGGCGGUGCAGGUGGCCCCGGAGGACGCGCCCCGAAAAGCGGCGCAGCGAGCGGGACGAGAAGGAGUAGGACGCGAGCUUGCGCUGGAGGCUCCACAGGCGGCCGUCCGCGAGGAAGAUGCCGCUGCCGAGGAGGUCGCCGAAGGGCCCCGCGAAGCGCGCGCCCUUAACGUAGUUGGGAAACCUCGCCCGCAGCAUGUGGUUGACGACGCCCGGGUCCGCCGUGGCGACGCCGCGGCCGAGGCCGAGCGCGCCGCGCACCUCUAUGGUGGAGGACGGGGCGGCCGUGAGCUGGUCGGUGGCCCAGUCGAGGAAGCGGUGCAGGUUGCGGACCAGGGGCACCACGUUGCCGAGCACGGGGUUCGGGUAGGGGCAGUGGUUGCGGUGGCCCCCGCGCCGCCGGAGGCCCAGGAAGAGAAGGACGGCGACUGCGAGGAGCGGCGCGACAGCGGCGUCCAUGGCGUGAUCACGUGGCUGUGCUCAGUCGUCUACUGGGACUAUCGGAG
rnacentral:misc_RNA from 1 species